rnacentral:tRNA from 1 species
UUAAUUGAAGCCAAAAUAUAAGAGGCAUCUUAAUGUUAAUAAGAAAAAUGAAUUUAUUCCAAUUAAU